AAAAACAUGUCCUUUUGUUUAUGAUUUAAGGUCUGACCUGCCCAAUGAUUAUUUAAAUGGCCGCAGUAUUUUGACUGUGCAAAGGUAGCAUAAUCAUUAGUUUUUUAAAUGGAAGCUGGUAUGAAUGGUUUGAUGAGAAAAUAGCUGUCUCAAUAUAAUUGAUUUAGAAUUUUAAUUUUAAGUUAAAAAGCUUAAAUGUUUUAGAAAGACGAGAAGACCCUAUAGAGUUUUAUUUUUUAUUUGAUAUAUAUUUUAUGGGUUUUGUUAUUUUUUAUUAUUUAAAGAAUUUUGUUGGGGUGAUGUAAAAAUUUAGUUAACUUUUUAUUUAUUUAUCCAUUUAUUUAUGAAUUUUUGAUCCUUUAUUUUAGAUUAUAAGAUUAAAUUACCUUAGGGAUAACAGCGUAAUUUUUUUGGAGAGUUCUUAUCGAUAAAGAAGUUUGCGACCUCGAUGU
rnacentral:rRNA from 1 species